rnacentral:rRNA from 1 species
AUUGAACGCUGGCGGCAUGCUUUACACAUGCAAGUCGAGCGGCAGCGCGGGGGCAACCCUGGCGGCGAGCGGCGAACGGGUGAGUAAUACAUCGGAACGUACCCAGGAGUGGGGGAUAGCCCGGCGAAAGCCGGAUUAAUACCGCAUACGAUCUUAGGAUGAAAGUGGGGGACCGCAAGGCCUCACGCUUUUGGAGCGGCCGAUGUCCGAUUAGCUAGUUGGUGGGGUAAAGGCCUACCAAGGCGACGAUCGGUAGCUGGUCUGAGAGGAUGAUCAGCCACAC